UGACCUUCCUCAGCGGACACGCCCCGUCCACCUGUUCCACAGGUGCGCCCGGCAAGAUGGCGGCGGGGCGAGGUUCUGCGGCGUUAGGCGACAAAAAGAUUUCAAGAACGGGCCUCCAGUUAUGAAAAUAGUUUCCAAGUUCUGCGGCUCCUGAUC